GACGGAGGAUGCAAGCGUUAUCCGGAAUGAUUGGGCGUAAAGCGUCCGCAGGUGGCAGUUCAAGUCUGCUGUCAAAGACCGGGGCUUAACUUCGGAAAGGCAGUGGAAACUGAACAGCUAGAGUAUGGUAGGGGCAGAGGGAAUUCCUGGUGUAGCGGUGAAAUGCGUAGAUAUCGAGAGGAACACCUGCGGCGAAGGCGGGUUGCUGGGCUGAUACUGACGCUGAGGCGCGAAAGCUAGGGGAGCGAACGGG
rnacentral:rRNA from 1 species